rnacentral:rRNA from 1 species
GAUGAACGCUAGCGGCAGGCUUAAUACAUGCAAGUCGAGGGGCAGCGCAGUGUAGCAAUACAUGGGCGGCGACCGGCAAACGGGUGCGGAACACGUACGCAACCUUCCUUUAAGUGGAGGAUAGCCCAGCGAAACUUGGAUUAAUACCCCGUAAUAUUAUGAAGUGGCAUCACUUUAUACUUAUAGCUCUGCCGCUUAAAGAUGGGCGUGCGACUGAUUAGGUAGUUGGCGGGGUAACGGCCCACCAAGCCUGCGAUCAGUAACUGGUGUGAGAGCACGACCAGUCACACGGGCACUGAGACACGGGCCCGACUCCUACGGGAGGCAGCAGUAAGGAAUAUUGGUCAAUGGACGCAAGUCUGAACCAGCCAUGCCGCGUGGAGGAUGAAGGUCCUCUGGAUUGUAAACUUCUUUUAUUUGGGAAGAAACCCACUGUUUCUACGGUGGUUGACGGUACCAGAUGAAUAAGCACCGGCUAACUCCGUGCCAGCCGCCGCGGUAAGAC